rnacentral:rRNA from 3 species
UCGUAACAAGGUUUCCGUAGGUGAACCUGCGG